CCUGAAAUGGCCGCCUAAGUAUUCUGUCGAAGCAACAAAAUAUUAUAUGUCAUCUGGCUUGAUGGAAAAUUUUAAAUACUGGAGAUCAUCUACGAAUUCACGCUUGGAAGCCAAUAAUGGAGCAGUAAUUAAAGUCGCGAUAGGCUCGAGAAGGGGCAGAGGAAAAUACGAGAUUUAUCCCAAGACAACAGAGGAAGAGACAAACAAAAUAGUGUGUACUAAAAUCAAGCCAAUGUUGGUUAGACCAGAAGAUUUUUUACCCGAAGUACGAGAUCUCAGUG